GCCUUCGUGGUGUAGUGGUCAGCACACUCGACGCGUAUUCCAGAGAAUCGUGGUUCGAAUCCCGGCGAAGGCA
rnacentral:tRNA from 1 species